UACCGUUUUCAUUUUUACGCGAACCCUACGAGCCGGUACAAUUAUUCUGUAAGAUUCAAACAGGAUGCGGAAACAUCGUUGAAGUUCAACGGCCACUGUGUUUAAUAUCGCGUCUGCAAAGUGCGUAAGUAUUCAGUGUAAAUAAGUGAGUUUGGUAAACCAUAUGGGAAAAGCGCUGUUCCGGAAUCUCGGGUGUUGGGUAACCCAAAACUCCCCGAGCGGGGAAAGGGCUCCCGCAG